rnacentral:tRNA from 1 species
GGUGGGGUUGCCGACAUGGGUAGAGGCAGGGGCCUGCAAAGUCCUGGCUGAAAUUUCAGCUUUGGGGGUUCGAGUCCCCCUCCCGCCUCCA